rnacentral:rRNA from 1 species
UACAGAGGUCUCGAGCGUUAGGCGGAAUCACUGGGCUUAAAGCGUGUGUAGGCGGAUCGGUAAGUACCUUGUGAAAUCCCACAGCUUAACUGUGGAACUGCUUGGUAUACUGCCAGUCUUGAGCCAGCUAGGGGCUACCGGAACAAAUGGUGGAGCGAUGAAAUGCGUAGAUAUCAUUUGGAACGCCAAUGGUGAAAACAGGUAGCUGGGGCUGUGCUGACGCUGAGACACGAAAGCCAGGGGAGCAAACGGG